rnacentral:lncRNA from 1 species
UUUUGCACUGCCAGGCAUUUUCAGAACAUCCGAGGUUUGUUUCCCAUGGUCAGGAUCCCAGAGGGUAGACAGAAAAUUAUUUUUCAGAGUGCCCUUCGGGGUUCAGUGGAAACGAAUCUGAUUAGUAUCCAUGAGGAUUCAGGGUCAAUCCCUGGCCUUGCUCAGUGGGUUAAGAAUCCGGCGUUGCCAUGAGCUGUGGUAUAGGUCACAGAUGUGGCUCAGAUCCUGCAUUGCUGUGGCUGUGGUGUAGGCCAGCAGCUGCAGCUCCAAUUAGACCCCUAGCCUGGGAACCUCCAUAUGCCCUGGGUGUGGCCCUAAAAAGCAAAAGAAAAAAAAAGGAAGUUGUUUUUCUUUUUGUUUAUCUCCCCCUUCCCCCUGCUGAGAUACUGAAGUCCUAAGUUCCCGCAUAGACUUAAAGAAAUUCUUGGAAUGUGGCAUCUGAAGGCAAGAUCAUGCUUUAGCUAAUGAGUGUUGCUUUAGCUAAUUCCUUUUUACUGUACAAUUCACUUAAAAUGAGAUACUUUGAAAAGCUGGCUUGCUUUUGAAUUGGAGAUUAUGGACAUAACCUUUGAUAAGGCCUGGCAAUGGAAGGGGAAAGGAGGAGAUGUCAUUUUUCUGUGUGUCAAUAAACAUAGACAUGCUUGGUUCAUUCCGCCGCUCACCACAUACUGCCGCUGGGAAGCAAAUACUUCCCUGUCUUUUGUUUGUGCAGUGCAUCUUCAAAAGUUAAUCAAAGAGUUUAACAGACUUUAUUUCAUUAAACACAUAGAGUAAAACAUAGACCUACUCUUAGGAUCAUUACAUCUUUUUUUCCCUCUUUUUUUCCCUUUUUUAGGGCCGCACCAGAGGCAUAUGAAAAUCCCCAGGCUAGAGGUUGAAUCAGAGCUGCAGCUGCCCCACAGCCACAGCAAUGCCAGAUCCUAGCCUCAUCUGCCACCUAUGCUGCAGCUUGUGUCCAUGUCAGAUCCUUAACCCAGUGAGCAAGGCCAGGGAUCAGACCCACAUCCUCAUGGAUACUAGUCAGGUUCUUAACCCACUGAGCCACAGUGGGAAAUCCCUACAUCUUUUUUAAGAUGUAGUUCUCUUAGAGUACGAAAAUAUGGUCUCUGUCCCAAGGAGUUUAUAUGUGCUUUUGGAUAACAUGUUGUAUAGCUAUCAAAUGUGAGAAAUUUGCAAAUCAAAUUAGAAAAGACAAAAGCAAUGUUUUUCAUCUAUUUCAUAAUAUCUUUGAAAAUAAUUUAAUAAAAAUGAAAAUAAGAGUUCCUGUCAAGGCGCAGUGGAAACGAAUCCAACUAGGAACCAUGAGGUUGUGUGUUUGAUCCCUGGUGUCACUCAGUGGGUUAAGGAUCUGGCGUUGCCGUGAGCUGUGGUGUAGGUCUCAGACAUGGCUGGGAUCCUGCGUUGCUGUGGCUGUGGUGUAGUGGCAGUUGUAGCUCUGAUUGGACCCCUAGCCUGGGAACCUCCAUAUGCUGAGGGUGCGGCCCUAAAAA